GUCCUAGCUGUAAACGAUGGAGACUAGGUGUUGGGUCCGUUAGGAUUCAGUGCCGUAGGUAACCCGAUAAGUCUCCCACCUGAGGAGUACGGCCGCAAGGUUGAAACUCAAAGGAAUUGACGGGGCCAGCACAAGCGGUGGAACAUGUGGUUCAAUUCGAUGCUACGCGAAGAACCUUACCCAGGCUUGACAUGCUUGAAGUAGGAACCUGAAAGGGAGACGACUCGUAUCCAGUCGAGAACUUGCACAGGUGCUGCAUGGCUGUCGU
rnacentral:rRNA from 1 species